AUGCCCAGGGAGAUGAGGAAGAGUCCUGGAAGCCACUUAGGACCUCGGAUCUGCCUCGAGGACAAUGGGGCACCAUCUGGAGGCUCUCCCACUUGGAGCCCCCUGACCAGAGCGAAGCCCUUCUCCCCUCAAGGCUGGAAGGUGGGUGCAAACUCCGCAGGGAGGAGCAUGCCCUUAGGAGGGAGGACCUGGGCUCCCCGACGGUGGGCGAGGGGGUGGACCCUGAGGCCUCAGCUUCAGAAUUGGGGGUGGAGGAGGGGGAGCGGUUGUUUGUUCAAAAGGCCAACACCCCGCCAGAUCCGAAGUCGGGGGCUUGUUUUAGUUCGGGCGACAGGUGUGCACAACCAGGGGAGCCUGCAUUUUGCUUCCUUGGAAAUUCCGUCUCCUCCCGGCCUGGAAAUUUCCAUCAGCCUAGACCCAGCGCCCGUGGGGCAGUGCCAGAACCGAGAGAACGGAGCACUGCAGAAAGAAGGGCCUGUCUCCCGGUUUCCCGGGAGGCGUUUGCUGUUCCUCCACGUGGGACAAAACCAAAGUCCAUCGUCCUUCAGGCCCGAACAGAUCGAUUCCUCUGUGUGUCCCGCAUGGAACUCGGGGCCUGCGGGAAGUCAUUUAAAGUUGAAAUAUUUUCAUGAUAUCAUAGUGUUUUUCUAA
rnacentral:lncRNA from 1 species